GCAACCCAGGGCUAAGAGUAUUUCUGCACAAAAGUACUGUACUUGGCUGUCUCUGAGGUGAAGGAGCAGCUUAACACCUCUAACCAAGGCAGCAAGGGGCAGCCCUCCCAGCACUGACCUUUCCUCAUUCCAGCCUCCUAAAAGGAAGCAAGCCAGCAGCAUGCCCAGGCCCCCAUGUGCUCUGCAGGAGGAGCUGACACUGGAAGCGCCAGCACAGAUCCUGAACAUAAUUACAGGCUGAUAUUUGCGCUGACUGCAGGUGGCCAUUGAAGUUACUGACACGUGUGGAAACAUAUUUUAUACUCUGUUUAUACUUUCAUUUUCCCCAUGAUUUAAACCUGGCACCAAAAUAACUUGUCCAGUCAUUACAGGGAGAACGAAUAAAAGCUUGUCAUUGAAAA